rnacentral:rRNA from 1 species
ACACUCCUACGGGAGGCAGCAGUGGGGAAUAUUGGACAAUGGGCGCAAGCCUGAUCCAGCCAUGCCGCGUGAGUGAUGAAGGCCCUAGGGUUGUAAAGCUCUUUCACCGGUGAAGAUAAUGACGGUAACCGGAGAAGAAGCCCCGGCUAACUUCGUGCCAGCAGCCGCGGUAAUACGAAGGGGGCUAGCGUUGUUCGGAUUUACUGGGCGUAAAGCGCACGUAGGCGGACUAUUAAGUCAGGGGUGAAAUCCCGGGGCUCAACCCCGGAACUGCCUUUGAUACUGGUAGUCUUGAGUUCGAGAGGGGUGAGUGGAAUUCCGAGUGUAGAGGUGAAAUUCGUAGAUAUUCGGAGGAACACCAGUGGCGAAGGCGGCUCACUGGCUCGAUACUGACGCUGAGGUGCGAAAGCGUGGGGAGCAAACAGGAUUAGAAACCCUAGUAGUCCCA